rnacentral:rRNA from 1 species
AACGUAGGACACAAGCGUUAUCCGGAAUUACUGGGCGUAAAGGGCGUGCAGGCGGUUGCGUAAGUUAGGCGUGAAAGACUUCGGCUAAACCGGGGGAGGUCGUCUGAUACUGCGCGACUAGAGUAUGGUAGAGGCGUGUAGAAUUCCGGGUGUAGUGGUGAAAUGCGUAGAGAUCCGGAGGAAUACCAGUGGCGAAGGCGGCACGCUGGGCCAUAACUGACGCUAAGACGCGAAAGCAUGGGUAGCGAACGGG